rnacentral:rRNA from 1 species
AUCGAACGCUGGCGGCAUGCUUUACACAUGCAAGUCGAACGGUAACAGGCCGCAAGGUGCUGACGAGUGGCGAACGGGUGAGUAAUGCAUCGGAACGUGCCCAGUCGUGGGGGAUAACGCAGCGAAAGCUGCGCUAAUACCGCAUACGAUCUGUGGAUGAAAGCGGGGGACCGAAAGGCCUCGCGCGAUUGGAGCGGCCGAUGUCAGAUUAGGUAGUUGGUGGGGUAAAGGCCCACCAAGCCAACGAUCUGUAGCUGGUCUGAGAGGACGACCAGCCACACUGGGACUGAGACACGGCCCAGACUCCUACGGGAGGCAGCAGUGGGGAAUUUUGGACAAUGGGCGCAAGCCUGAUUCAGCAAUGCCGCGUGCAGGAAGAAGGCCUUCGGGUUGUAAACUGCUUUUGUACGGAACGAAACGGCUCUGGUUAAUACCUGGGGCUAAUGACGGUACCGUAGGAAUAAGCACCGGCUAACUACGUGCCAGCCGCCGCGGUAAUAC